rnacentral:rRNA from 1 species
UGGGGAAUAUUGGACAGUGGGCGCAAGCCUGAUCCAGCCAUGCCGCGUGAGUGAUGAAGGCCCUAGGGUUGUAAAGCUCUUUCACCGGUGAAGAUAAUGACGGUAACCGGAGAAGAAGCCCCGGCUAACUUCGUGCCAGCAGCCGCGGUAAUACGAAGGGGGCUAGCGUUGUUCGGAUUUACUGGGCGUAAAGCGCACGUAGGCGGACUAUUAAGUCAGGGGUGAAAUCCCGGGGCUCAACCCCGGAACUGCCUUUGAUACUGGUAGUCUUGAGUUCGAGAGAGGUGAGUGGAAUUCCGAGUGUAGAGGUGAAAUUCGUAGAUAUUCGGAGGAACACCAGUGGCGAAGGCGGCUCACUGGCUCGAUACUGACGCUGAGGUGCGAAAGCGUGGGGAGCAAACAGG